rnacentral:rRNA from 1 species
GAUGAACGCUGGCGGCGUGCCUAAUACAUGCAAGUCGAGCGAAUGGAUUAAGAGCUUGCUCUUAUGAAGUUAGCGGCGGACGGGUGAGUAACACGUGGGUAACCUGCCCAUAAGACUGGGAUAACUCCGGGAAACCGGGGCUAAUACCGGAUAACAUUUUGAACCGCAUGGUUCGAAAUUGAAAGGCGGCUUCGUCUGUCACUUAUGGAUGGACCCGGGUCGCAUUAGCUCGUUGGUGAGGUAACGGCUCACCAAGGCAACGAUGCGUAGCCGACCUGAGAGGGUGAUCGGCCACACUGGGACUGAGACACGGCCCAGACUCCUACGGGAGGCAGCAGUAGGGAAUCUUCCGCAAUGGACGAAAGUCUGACGGAGCAACGCCGCGUGAGUGAUGAAGGCUUUCGGGUCGUAAAACUCUGUUGUUAGGGAAGAACAAGUGCUAGUUGAAUAAGCUGGCGCCUUGACGGUACCUAACCAGAAAGCCACGGCUAACUACGUGCCAGCCGCCGCCGUAA